GUCCACGCCGUAAACGAUGAGUGCUAAGUGUUAGAGGGUUUCCGCCCUUUAGUGCUGCAGCAAACGCAUUAAGCACUCCGCCUGGGGAGUACGGCCGCAAGGCUGAAACUCAAAAGGAAUUGACGGGGGCCCGCACAAGCGGUGGAGCAUGUGGUUUAAUUCGAAGCAACGCGAAGAACCUUACCAGGUCUUGACAUCCUCUGACAAUCCUAGAGAUAGGACUUUCCCCUUCGGGGGACAGAGUGACAGGUGGUGCAUGGUUGUCGU
rnacentral:rRNA from 1 species